rnacentral:lncRNA from 1 species
AAAACAACAACAAGAACCCAAAGCAGCCACUUACCAAUGUCCUCGGACAGUGCAUUUAAAAUUUGGCAUUAGAAUUCACAGGACAAUCAAAAAUACCUCAGUGGAUCUGAGGAGCUUGGAAGGCCACAGUCUGAACUGAAAACUGAAAUCUGCUUACUGUCUUACUCUAUCAUCUCCAAAAGCAACCUACCAACGCAGUUCCCAGAACUGAAAAGGAGCUAAAAGAUAAACGCUCAGACCUCAUCUUGAUUGGGCUGGAGAAGACCAGGGACCCUUGUCCAGGCAGUUUUGCUUUACGGUCGUUCAUCUUCAGUCCACUCUAUGACGGGGUUUCUCAGAACCCUGACCUUGUCUCUGGAUAUAAAACUUCACACCUGCAUUUUUAAUAGAUUUAAUAAAAUUUGAUACUUUUGUUAUGCAAAAA